CUGUGCUGAGUUUUUCGAAGGUCAGAGCAGAUUGAACCUUUGUGCUUUCAUUUUUCCUGAUUUUGAUUUUUCUUAUGGGGAUCCACUUUUCCUGCAUUCGAGGUGACUUGAAGAAGCCUUCCAAAAAGCGUGUGAAAAGGGAGCCCUACUCUACUACCAUGUUACAGGUGACUUCAUUGAGCCCAAUCAAUGAAAUUUUGAGAAGAUACAGCCUGUACACCAACCAGCAUUGGAGGCAUCAUGGCUUCUGGAGAAAGAAGAUACAGCCACAAGAAGCCUCUGAGGAGCCUCCAGCUCACAAGGACAGAGGAGGUGGAGAGAGGCCAGUCAACGCGAGGGUGGUGCGGGUGGCCCCUCUGAGGCCUGGUUUUGCUCUUUGUGGGUACGCUGUACAAGACAUCUCUAAAGAAGACACUGUAUAUGACAUCUGUAAUGAGGAUGCUGUAGACAUCUCUGAUGAGGACACUGUAGAUAUCUCUAAUGAGGCUUCUGUACAUGACAUCUCUAAUGAGGCUGCUGUAUGUGACAUCUCUAACGAUGCCGUAAACAUCUCUAAUGAGGCUGCUGUACGUGACAUCUCUAAUGACGCUGUAGACAUCUGUAAUGAGGCUGCUGUACAUGACAUCUCUAAUGAGGACACUAUAGAAGACAUUUCUUAUGAGGACACUGUAUACGACAUCACUAAUGAGGAUGCUGUACGAUACCUCUGUAAAAAAGAUGCUACCAAGGAGCCAUUGACACUGGAGAAUGAUUUGAUUGUGGAGAGCAUGUCUGAUGACGAGGAUUUUGCAGCUUAAAGGGAGCUCCCGGGGUGAGUGAUGGAGGCGGGAUCGGACCCUGGCAGUUUGACGGCAACACCUGUGUUCCUCUGCACUGGGCCGUGGAUGACAUUACACACCUUGGGCUUAUGAUUUCUUCUCGGGUUUGAAACAUGCCCCCAGAUGAGCAAGACGGGGCUGCCACAUUGACGGAGCAGCUGCGGGACACACCCAAGAAACCUCCUGGAGAACACAGGGGACAUUCACGGCUGGAGGCUUCAUCUAUGGCCGGGGGCUUCAUCCAUGAGCUGGGGACUUCAUCCAUGGGCUGGGGACUUCAUCCAUGACUGGGGACCUCAUCCACGUCUGGAGACUUCAUCCGCGACUGGGGGCUUCAUCCAUGGGCUGGGGGAUUCAUCCACGGGCUGGGGGCUUCAUCCAUCACUGGGGGCUUCAUCCACGGGCUGGGGGCUUCAUCCAUGACUGGGGGCUUCAUCCACGGGCUGGGGGCUUCAUCCAUGGGCUGGGGGCUUCAUCCAUGACUGGGGGCUUCAUCCACGGGCUGGGGGCUUCAUCCAUGACUGGGGACUUCAUCCACGACUGGAGACUUCAUCCAUAGGCUGGGGGCUUCAUCUACAGCUGGAGACUUCAUCCACAGCAGGGGCUUCAUCCUUGGUUGGUUUGCCUGAUCUGUAUCUGAGCCACAGAUACAGAUUAUUAAACAGAUAAUAAUUUUA
rnacentral:lncRNA from 1 species